rnacentral:rRNA from 1 species
AUUGAACGCUGGCGGCAUGCCUUACACAUGCAAGUCGAACGGUAACAGGUCUUCGGAUGCUGACGAGUGGCGAACGGGUGAGUAAUGUAUCGGAACGUGCCUGGUAGUGGGGGAUAACUAGUCGAAAGAUUAGCUAAUACCGCAUACGACCUACGGGUGAAAGCAGGGGACCUUCGGGCCUUGUGCUAUCAGAGCGGCCGAUAUCUGAUUAGCUAGUUGGUGGGGUAAAAGCCCACCAAGGCGACGAUCAGUAGCUGGUUUGAGAGAACGACCAGCCACACUGGAACUGAGACACGGUCCAGACUCCUACGGGAGGCAGCAGUGGGGAAUUUUGGACAAUGGGGGCAGCCCUGAUCCAGCAAUGCCGCGUGAGUGAAGAAGGCCCUCGGGUUGUAAAGCUCUUUUGUCCGGAAAGAAAGCAAUCGGUUAAUACCCGGUUGUUCUGACGGUACCGGAAGAAUAAGCACCGGCUAACUUCGUGCCAGCAGCCGCGGUAAGGUAGA